UUCUCCCUCCCUGGUCCUCGGGGUUGUUUACGGAAGUGCGCGCCGUGGGAGAGGCGUGUCCUGGCGACUGUCGUCAUUGGGAGUCCCCCUUCGCUGUUGCCAGCCCACCUGCAGCUGAUUACCUGACCAGUGGUUGGUAAUCAUUCCUCCAGGCUAGAAAGGGGUAUUUAACCUGGACUCACGGCGACAGUCGACGUGGGAUUAUUACUCCGAACUGGAGGGGCGAGCGGAGAAGCGAGUUGGGGAGCACACACACGAAGGGAGUUACUACACGGAACGCACUGGGAGCAAGGGACGAGCACGAUUGGAAAAUUGCACUUUUGAAUGGAUUGUUGGACUUGUCUGUUUCACUGUAAAUAAACGCACUGUGUUUCUGUGAGCAAGAACCGCGCCUGGGUCCCUCUUUUCCGUGACAGAAUAAUCCCACCACCAUGGACCCAGCGGAUUCUGCUUCACGCCAGCUGUCUAUCCAAGCGGAGGUUUUGGAGCGACACGAGGAAAUGCUGAAGCACGUUUCAAAGGAACAAACCGCGCUUCUGCAAGCCAUGACAGAGCUUAAAGCAAGGUAGGAGGAGUGUUGCUGACUUUUCCGUGGAGUUCUGGAUCCUGGCGGAGGAGUCGGGCUGGGAGGAGAAAGCA